rnacentral:antisense_RNA from 1 species
CUUCACGGAGCCGAGCAGCAGCGGCCGGGCGGCGUCGCGGCCCCGGCCGUAGGUGGCGAGGAGGGCCUGGGCCUC